rnacentral:rRNA from 1 species
UAGGGAAUCUUCCACAAUGGACGCAAGUCUGAUGGAGCAACGCCGCGUGAGUGAAGAAGGCUUUCGGGUCGUAAAACUCUGUUAUUGAAGAAGAACGUGUGUGACAGUAACUGGUCAUGCAGUGACGGUAUUCAAUCAGAAANUCACGGCUAACUACGUGCCAGCAGCCGCGGUAAUACGUAGGUGGCAAGCGUUGUCCGGAUUUAUUGGGCGUAAAGCGAGUGCAGGCGGUCUUUUAAGUCUGAUGUGAAAGCCUUCGGCUUAACCGAAGAAGGGCAUCGGAAACUGGGAGACUUGAGUGCAGAAGAGGAGAGUGGAACUCCAUGUGUAGCGGUGAAAUGCGUAGAUAUAUGGAAGAACACCAGUGGCGAAGGCGGCUCUCUGGUCUGUAACUGACGCUGAGGCUCGAAAGCGUGGGUAGCAAACAGGAUUAGAU